rnacentral:rRNA from 1 species
GAUGAACGCUGGCGGCGUGCUUAACACAUGCAAGUCGAACGAUGAAGCUGGAGCUUGCUCUGGUGGAUUAGUGGCGAACGGGUGAGUAACACGUGAGCAACCUGCCCCUGACUCUGGGAUAGCAGCCGGAAACGGCUGCUAAUACCGGAUAUGCACCAUGAACGCAUGUUCUGUGGUGGGAAAGAUUUUUCGGUUGGGGAUGGGCUCGCGGCCUAUCAGCUUGUUGGUGAGGUAAUGGCUCACCAAGGCGUCGACGGGUAGCCGGCCUGGGAGGGUGACCGGCCACACUGGGACUGAGACACGGCCCAGACUCCUACGGGAGGCAGCAGUGGGGAAUAUUGCACAAUGGGCGAAAGCCUGAUGCAGCAACGCCGCGUGAGGGAUGACGGCCUUCGGGUUGUAAACCUCUUUUAGCAGGGAAGAAGCGAGAGUGACGGUACCUGCAGAAAAAGCGCCGGCUAACUACGUG